rnacentral:rRNA from 1 species
GCAGCCAUCAUUUAAAGAAAGCGUAAUAGCUCACUGGUCGAGUCGGCCUGCGCGGAAGAUGUAACGGGGCUAAACCAUGCACCGAAGCUGCGGCAGCGAACGUAUCACUUAAAGCGAUUCAGCGGAUUACGAUUGACGGAGCGAAGCGACGUCAAAGCGUAUACAAAGUCGAGUCGGUUUAAGGAUACGUUCGUUGGGUAGGGGAGCGUUCUGUAAGCCUGUGAAGGUGGCCUGUGAGGGUUGCUGGAGGUAUCA